AGUCACUCGUGUUGUCUUCCUUUGAACAGCAUUCUGUUUUCCGAAGAGAGAUGUGAACUUUAAGGCCUCUGCAGUUGACCGCCAAAGUGAUGAUGUGGUUGUCACCACAACACCCGUUCCCCACAACCAGACCACCUCUGCCCAUACUGAAGCUGGUGAUGGAGCAAGUGAAGAUGCUGUGGCUACCACCCCAACACCAAAUCCCCCAACUACAUCUGACCACACUGCAGCUACGGUAAGGACAUCAGUGCAUGUCUGUUUUGAUGGAACACUUUGAAUGUUUGCGCCCCCCUUUUGACAGUGUCGCUUUCUAUUUGUGUGUAAUCGCAAGAUGAUGCAAGUGAGGGUGCUGUGGCUGCCCAAACUGGAACUACUGGUAAGGGAGUUAUGAUUAUACAAGGAACCACUUGGAUGGUUCAAACUGUUUGCUCUUAAAA
rnacentral:lncRNA from 1 species